rnacentral:lncRNA from 1 species
CCUUUUCCCCCAUGACAUGGACUUAUUGUAGGGCCAGGACCCAUCUACACCAGUCCAGACUGCCAGCCGUGUCACCUUGAGGCAGGGUGGGGCAGAGACUUCAGUCUGCUUGCCCUGAAUGCACUUAGUAAGCACUCAAAAAAUAAUGUGAAAUGAUGACUUAGAGGCCCAAGCUCCAGCCUGGGAUUCUGGAGUCCUGGGCCCUGCCCAGGCUCUGUCACUGCUGGGCUGUGUAACUGCAAGCAAGUGACUUCCCCUCUCUGGGUAUCAACGCCCUCAUCUCUAAAAGGAGAGGAUGAACCAGAACACGAGUUCUGAACCUGGAACCCAUGGCAGGGAUUAAGGGGACUCGGACCUCCUCAGAAAACACCUGUGUGUUCUUCCCAGUAUGCACUAGCUUUUCUGGAGAGCUCAUAGCUUCCUAGGGCUGUGGUAAUAAACCAUUGUAAACAGGGUGGUUUGAAACAACCUAAGUCUGUUCCUAGCUGGCUGCGGUGGCCCACGCCUGUAAUCCCAGCACUUUGGAAGGUCAAGGCCAGUUGAUCACUUGAGCCCAGGAGUUCUAGACCAGCAUGGGCAGCAUAGUGAGACUCCCACCUCUGUAAAAAAAAAAAAAAAAAAAAAAAAGAAAGAAAAAGAAAAAAUAGCUGGACAUGGUGUUGCAUGCCUAAAGUCCCAGCUACUUGGGAGGCCAAGGCAGGAGGAUUGCUUGAGCUUAGGAAGUCGAGGCUGCAGUGAGCUGUGAUUGCCUGGUUAACAGAGGGAGACCCUGUCUCAAAAACCAAAAAGUUUACUGUGUCACAGUUGUUGAGGCCAGAUGUCUGAGAUAAAGGUGUGGGCAAGGCCACGCCCCCUCUGAAGGCACUAGGGAGAGAUCCGCCCCACACCUCUCUCCCUGGCUUGUCGAUGCCAUCUUCUCCCUGCAUCUCUUCACAUUGACUUCCCUUGGUGUCUGUCGACAUGCCCAAAUUCCCCCCUUUUAUAAGGACACGAGUCAAAUUGGAUUCAGGGCCCACCCUACUCCAGUAUGACCUCAUCUUAAUUACAUCUGCAACAACCCUAUUUCCAAAUAAGGUCACAUUCUGAGGUCCUGGGGGUUAGGACUCAGGGCUCUCCAGGGUCCUCCCUAUCUCUGAGGUCUCUUAGAGGGGAGAUGGAGGGACCAGCCCAGGAAUCAAAGCCAAGCUGAGGGGGAGCUGCUAAGGUUUCAUGGGCUGACUGCAUCUGCCUGGAUUUCUGAUGUGAAGAGGGCUGGUUUCAGUAAUCCCAGCGUCCACUCUGGCUCUCCCUUGCGCAAUAGGAGCAGCUCCUUCUGUUGCUUGCCCGCUGCACGCCAGGCACCAUGCGGCCCUCCAUGCUCACAGUGCUGGCCUGCACAGCACCUUUAGCUGGAAGCUGGGCCAUUCCUAAUUUACAGACAGACCUGAGGUUAAGGAGACCGUGGCUGGUCACCCACUAACAGGUGCCAGAGGCUGAACUUGAAUCCAGCUUUCUCAACUCCAGGGUGCGCCGUGCCUUUCAACUUGGAGCCUGUGCAGAUUAUUUUGCCUGUGCCUGUGACUUCUCUCAAAAGACUGGCCCAGCCAGGGCCCAUCUCUCUUAGGCCUUCCUCCCCACAAAGAGGCCAAAAGCCCUGGGAGCACAGUGCAUGCUCAGCAAAGACCUCCACUCAUUCACUUGGGGAAUCAUGGCCACCUUCAUGUGCCUGGCAGAGUUCUGUUGUGGGGGCACUUGCUGACAGUGGCAAGUGUUAGACCAUGUUGAGCAUGGUCACUGAGAUGGUCAGCCUCCCAAGGAAGGGAUGCUUCAGCCACGGUCCAAAUGACCUCAGGGACAAGCAGGGCAGAGGCCCGGGAGGUGUCAAGGCUGGAUGGGGAUGGAGGCGGGUCCUGGGGAGGGUGUCAGGUGAGAGCAAGCAGGUAGUCAGGAGCACACGGGGCACUGGAACAGAAUAAGGAGUUUGGGUGCCAUUCUACGCCAGCUGGAGAGCCAUUGCAGGGCUUUGCUGAGAGGUGACCAGGUUAUGGUCUGAAGAGGUCCGCCCCAGCUGUAAAGGAAAUCAGUUGGCAGUGGUGGUGAUGGAGGCUGGAGAUGGGAGACCCCUAGGAAGCUGAUGUGGUGCUUAGGCCCGGGAGGAUGGUGGCUUGUCUUUGAGUUGAAGAAAGGAGCUGGUGAUGGAUCUGGGCCACAUUUAGGACGGAGCGCCACCAGGACUGACACGGAUUGGGCUGGGGGAGUGGUAAGGAAGGGAAUGGAGGGUGUUACUAGCAGGCUUUUGGCUUGUGCAGCUCCAGAGCUCACGUGGUGCUGCUGAAGAUGGGGGAUGCUGGAAUGGAGCUGUUAGGGGUGGAAUUUAGGUCCAUGGCUGCUGCUGCAGCAACUCAAGUUGUCUCGGGACAGCUGCUGGGACACUUAGGGAGGACUGUGGCCCCGCUGGGGAGGCAUCCUGAGCGCUCUCCCCCUGCCCCCCGUCUUCUCCUCUGAUUCCCUAAGCUCCAACUUGGAGAGCCUGCUGGACACCAGCCAGUCCUGGGGGGCGAAGGGGUCUUGGUGUGGCCCCCACUGCCUCCCGGGCUCAGUGGUGGGGGUGUGGCCAGCCCUAGCAUCCCGCCAGCCUUCCCGGCCACAGCCUCAGCCCCGGCUGCAGGAAGAUGUUUUGCUGCCACCUUGUGGGCAAGAAGGGCCUGACUGUUUGGGAGGGCCACGGUGGUUCUGGGACCACACCUGGCUGCUGGAGGAAGCCACAGCCUUGCCCUGCGGAGCUGGCCACAAGCUCCGGCUUUC